AGCAUUUGGAAGAUGAUAAAUAUGUGAUAAAUGUUGUGCAUUGUUACAUUCAACAGUCAUACAUUAGUUUUUAAUGAUUCUGUGAAUCUUUUUUUUGUAUGUUUCUCUUUAUAACAAAUUUAUAUUACUAUUAUUCACAUGGAAAGUGCUGCUGAUGGGGUGGGCUAUGGUGUUUACUGAUCAGAUCUUGUAUGCUUAUUUGUGCUGCAAUGGCAAAACAUGCAUUAGAAAGCUUUCUUUUCCCUACUUGUGCCACUGGAGCAAGGCCUCAUAAGGUUCCACUUAAUUAUGUAGUUUUUAUUCAAUAAGUAAAACUGUUGGUUCAUAACUGUUACUUUUGAUACUUCUAAGAAUUUCUUUUUCUGGCUUUUUCAUUU
rnacentral:misc_RNA from 1 species